rnacentral:rRNA from 1 species
GUUAUGAAUGGAGCAGGGCGGAUGCCUUGGCACUA